GACGUAGGAGGCGAGCGUUGUCCGGAUUCAUUGGGCGUAAAGAGCACGCAGGCGAUUUGGCAAGUCGGAUGUGAAAACCCGAAGCUCAACUUCGGGCCUGCAUCCGAAACUGCCCGACUAGAGGUAGGUAGGGGAGAUCGGAAUUCCUGGUGUAGCGGUGAAAUGCGCAGGAUAUCAGGAGGAACACCGGUGGCGAAGGCG
rnacentral:rRNA from 1 species